GGAGGCAUUUGUGGGGCAUUCACUGGAACAGGGGGUGUUUGUCUGUUUGGGAAGCCCCUGGUCCUCAUUCCUGGCAAUGACCAGCUGAUCCGACUCUGAGGUUAAAUAUGGUUGUGCUCCUUUGGGUGAUCACUGAAUGCUGUGUGGGUGUUGGAGUAGUUGUGUUGGAGAGGUCAAAGGCCAAGGAGUAGCUCAGCCUCGGUAUGCUUGGCUUCUAAAGUAACAGGUGCCACAGGGCAACAUGAGAGUUCAUGGACUGAUGGGAAUUUUCAGGGGAGGUGUGAUCUUUGGUACCUGACCAAGAAUGUUUUUUUUCCACUCCCGUGGAUGAAAUGAGAGACAGCUGCUCCAGAGGAAAACACAGCACCAGCAGGUUGUGUAACAGGCAAAAGUGAAUCCCGGAGAGUGGUCCAUGUAGUCUCAGCACCCUGGCUAAAGGAUCCUUUCUGGCCUUUCUGGUUCCUCCACGUCUCCCAUUCUCCCAGGAUUCUAUCACAGCACUCUUUGGGUGAGUUCUUACAGUGGGUUUCAUGAUCAAGCCAAAGCCUGGGAGCUCAUUAGAGAGCUAGGUCUGGUGUAUAUAUAGUUUAGUGUAUGGACAUAAAAGAGAAGGGAUGCAAAAAGAGAUACAUGUUCCAGAACAUCUGGCGAGGCUGGUAGCUGAGGCCACAUACUUCCCAGAUGCAGAAGUGCAUUGUUGAUGAUGUCUGAUUUACUGCUACUGAUAAAACUCCUGGUUUAUUUGCUCAGCGUCCUUUAUGCAUAGAGCUGGACUAUUCAUUAAAAAGGUUUUAUGAGUUAAUGUUUUAUGGUAUGUGUAAAAAUUACACAAUACAGCUCUUCUUUUGGGAAUUCAGAGCCUGAGCUACAAUGGGCCCUUAUUUUUUCUGCUACUUGUCAUAGCACUGCCACCACCAAACUGUUUGCUCACCAGAUCUGGAGCUGUUAACCUUGGACAGUGACUACAAGUAUUUAUUUAGUCUGCUCUGGGUUAGAAGGGCCACCAUAUUGGCAGAACUCUUUCACUUGAAAUCAUGGACUCACACAUUUUGCCUCUUCCCAGUGGAAAUCCUUGCAAUUUGUCUGUGAUUAUUAUUCCAUUUGUUUUGUUCAAGCAAUGUUAUCUUCACUUAGUUCUUUUGUUCUGGUCAUUUUUUUUAGUUCUUCUGUUUUUUUUUUUGUUUUGUUUUGUUUUGUUUGUUUUUUUGUUGUUUUUUUGUACGUAGAUGUUGAUAGAAUAUGGACUUGGAUAUGAACUUGGGAAAGGAAUAUGUGUGUUAAACAUAUGUUUGCCCACAGGCUAAAAACUGUUAGAAACCAUUCAAGGUUAUUACAUCUUUUUAGUCUGUCUACCUACAGGCUACAUUGUUUUAAAAGUUUACAACUAUUUAUAAAUCGUUCUACCACCAGGAUGGAAAAUCCUUUUUUACCCAAAAAAAGAAGAGAAAAAUGGAUAUCAUUUCAACGAAGUAUAGUGUUAAAAGACAUCCUGGGAGAAAGACAGUUAGUCACUGCCUCUACAGCUGUUUCCUGACAUUUCUGCAAAAUGUUGUGGAAAAUUUAAUGAAGGCUAGCUGGUUUCAGUCUUACCCAGUGGAAAGUCUUACCAUAUACAAUUAAGACCAACAUGAAGCCUCACUUUUUCCUGCUUUCUUUUGUUUUUCCCAUUUGUAGCACAGUGUUCUCUGCUUCAUCCAGGCAAAAUGUACAUUUAACAACUACAGCUGUACACCAUAAAGCAUGGCCUGUAAUGUCACUUCUUUACACUGUCUGAUCUUGGCACAUUUUUUUGCAGACAUCACCAUAGAUGCAAUCAGUAGCAAUUAAAGCAUGAAAAUGUCAGCAAAAAUUAUAUCUUUUUUUUUUAAUUUUUUUUGUGCCUAAAGACAGCUUAAAUAGACUAAAUUAGCAAUAACGCUGCAUUCUGUUUUACUUUAAUUAAAGUAAUGCUGGCUAUUUCUGAAACAUUCCAGUUCUUAAUUAACAAAUGAAUAACUCUUAUAAAAUAUCCAACUUGAUGCCUGUGUGUAUAUGUUUACAUGACUCAGCAAGGUCAUUCUAGUAGGUAUACUCUGGGGACGUAACUGAAUAUGAAUACAUUAUACGGUACGUAUUGAACCAAUAAUGUGUUCUAAACAGAUGCAAAUACAGAUACUCAAUAUUAUAAGUCACAAAUUUGCUGACUUUCGACUCAACAUAAAUUAAGAAAACCUGUGACUCUACUUUGACUUUCAUCAAUGACUUGUGACUUCACUUGGACUCGAGCCCUUUGACUUUGGUACAUUUUCAAACAUCAACUAUUCUUUAUCCCAUCAAACAAGACAUUUUCAGCAAAUCGGCAUCAAUCCUCAUUUCAAAGGUUAAUAUUCAACCAGUUCAACAGCCAGUCAACCUUCAUUAGACAACGAGAAGGUUAAAAGAGUGCUCAUUUCCUGACGACAGAGACGCUUCUGCAGUAGCCAUGCUCACAUGUAUAAAGUAGCUUUCGCCUUAAAAAAAUUAUGUUUGCAACAUGUAGAACCUGUGGUUCAAGAAUCAGCUGCAAAAGCAACAACUUCAAGUUUUGUUUAGCAUUUGAAGUUGCACCGAUGGAUACCCUUAGUGAAAAUAGUCUACACCUCAUCUCAUGUGAAACUGAACUGAAAUAUUUAGUUUUAUUGUAAUAGUCAUGCUUCUCUCAAAUAACCAUAUUUUUCCACUGAGUUAUAAAGUUUGUCUAGAAAAUGAUGAACACCAUUUAAAAAAAAAAAAAAAAUCUUGAAUGAUUUGUAUAAAUUUUCUAGAUUAAAGUGAUAGUUCAACCAAAAAUGAAAAUUCUGUCCUCAAUUACUCCCCCUCAUGUCGUCCCAAAUCCGUAAGACUUUUGUUCAUCUUAGGAACACAAAUGAAGACAUUUUAAUGAAACCUGGGAGAUUUCUUUCCCUCCAUUUACAGACCAGUAUCCAAAACUUUCAAGCUCCAAAACAAAAAGUUCAUAAAGGCAACGUAAAAGUAAUCCAUGUGACUCCUGUGGUUUAAUCCCAAUUUUAUGAAGCGAUAUGAAUGCUCUGCGUGCGCAAAAAAAAAAUCAAAUUAAGUCUUUAUUCACAAAAUAUCUGACACAAGAUCUCUGAUACCCAAUCAUGAGAGAACCAAGACACACACGUGUUGUGCUGAUGCGAGAGUGGACAAAAAAUGCAAGUCCUCAUCUAUGUCCAACUCUGCAGACAUUGUUAUUAUGUGACUCAGUUUGUGUACAGUGUCCCUCUUCAUCUGCUGUAAACAGUGCAGCGCUUCCAGGUCUCGCUGUAUCUUGAGAGUGGAAUGUCAGAAAUCUCCCAGGUAUCAUUAAAAUGUCUUCAUUUCUGUUCUGAAGAUGAACGAAAGUCUUAUGGGUUUGGGACGAUAUGAGGGGGAGUAACAACCACAGAUAUUGGUUGUUUUCCAUUGCUUGUUUUUUUUGCUUGUCAUUGAUUAUUUUCUCAAACCGUCUUCCUUGUCUCUUCUACAAUAAAGCUAUGUCUUAAAGCUAGACGAAUGAGUUUCCAGCAGCUUUCACUGGAAUAUUUCCAUCACACAUGGCAGUAUGAUCACAUUAUUAGGUCAUGAAUUUAUUGAUAGGAAACAUCUUGAUAUUGUGCCAUAUGCAAAGUUUAAUCAACCUGUAGGGUUGUUUUCUUGUUUAUUUCUUCUUUCACUUGUCCAUUGAUUUGAUAUUGUCACAUCAAGAGACCAUUAUGCUUGAAUCAAAAUGAUUCUACGAAUUCGAAACAAUUUAUUGUACCAACCUUUUAUCAAAGACAGAUGCUAAAGUAAUAAAUAAUGCUGCUAUUGAAAAGCUGUAAGAUAGAUGGAAACUUUCAUGCAAUUUAUACAUGCACAUGUGUAAACACAUACUGCUUGCACACAUGUAGCCUAUGUUUUAGCAUAUAUCUCUAUCCUAUACAAGUUUUAGCUAUGUCCGGUAGCACAUGUACAUUUCAGCACAGAUAUACAAACAUGAGCCUUGAUGUCUAUGGUAGAAAUGUUGAAUCCAUGUGAAAAUCAUCCCCAAAAGGACCGUUAAGGACAACUUAAGACAGCUUAGUGUUCUAAUGACCUCCAGAGUUGAUGAAAGGGAACAUAACAUUCACACACUACACUAGACUUUGCCCACAUUUUAGUGACUAAUCGCUGAUAAUAGCUUAUGAGCUUGUGCAUCCAUUGGCCUAUGUUAUGAUUUGAAAAUUUUUUAAUUUACCGUGUGGAAAGGACUCGAUAACUAGUUGGCAUUAUUCAGAAUAAUCAUCAUCAAUACAGUUAUAAUGACAGGUUAGCGGAUCGCAUCAUGUACACUGUCAUAUCUCUGCACAGAUCACAAGCAGAUCUCUAUUCCCCUCCACAUGGGUAGUUAGAUGUUUUUUGAGAGCAAAUGCCCAUCAUUUGCCUAAAUGUGAGCCUGUUGAUGCCUUCUUUUUCCGGCAUAUUCACAGGCUCCCUCCUGCCUUCUUCUAGUGCCUGGCAUUGCAGCUGGAGGAUAAUUGUGUAUUCGACCAAAUGUCUUGAAGGGCUGUGCAGUGCUGCGAAUCCGGCUGACAUCGCUCCCAGCCCACUCUGACCAAGCGUUGUGUAACUCUCCCCCUUUCAUAACACAAUUCAUCAACAACAUAACUCUGCAUGUUAUUCAUGCCUUCCCCUCCCACACAGGAACUGUCACCCACACUCCUCACCCCAUCUUGAGAUGGCUGUGGAUGCUUCCCACGCAUACUUUCUCUCUCCAGCACUCAUACACUUGUACAUGCAUGCGCACACACACACACACACACACACACACACACACACAAAUACAAAAGCGCUAAUAGGCACAUGUACACCCAAACACACUCACACACAUUCAAGCUCUCCUGGCCAUGGUGUUAAAAAUACCUCAUCUUAUUUAAUUGCUUCCUUUCUGCUCCACAUAUCUCACUGAGAGUUCUUUCUCUUUUUUUGUUAGUCUGCUUCUUUGUGGAAAAGGAAAUAAAACUGUGAGUUUUUUCCCCCUCCAGUCUGCUUCCAGUAAGCUUGCGUUUGCCUGUGCGGGGACCUGGAAUGUGCAAUAUAAAUCUGUUUUUUGACACUGUAGAGGUUUGUAACUUCCAUCAGCUGACCAUCUGGAUGUGAUUUAAGCUGGCUUCCCUAUCUGUGUUGGUUUCCCUCCCCUGAUGCAUGCCAUGCCUAGCCAAGGGAUCACUUUGUGCUUCAUCUUGCGGGUUCUAAUGAGGAGUCAGCAGGACACUCCAGGUGGCUGACUUGUACACAUUUAGGGUGAUAGAUCCCACAGACCUGCUAACACAGUCCAAAAAACACACUGUGGAAAGUGCUGGGUGAGGAAAAAUACAUCUUUUGUGAGGAGACAGGAUGAAUAGUAGAAAAAGAAAGGUGUGUAUGUUGAGUAUUAUGAGUGAAGGUGUCAUGAGAAUAUUAUUAGUGGGUUGUUAGAGAAGGGUUUUGUCUUAGAAACUUCCUGAGCUACAAUGUCUUUCCAUUCUUCAGCCAAGGAAUAUUCUAGGAAAGAUGGCAGCUAACUAGCUUGUCUCUGUCUUUGCAGAAUGUGCUUCUUUAUCUUCUUACACACAUUAUUAAUCAGUGAAACAAUAUGUGCCAGCUAUAAGAGAACACGAUACUUCAGUGUAGGAUCUGAAGUUCAGUCAGACUCUCACGGAUGUGCUCUGCGAGUGCCAGUUGGAACUGUAAAAGAGCUGGAUAAUACUUAAAACACGAAUCUAGAGAAAUCAGUGCUUGUCUUGCAUAAUUUCUCAAUUUGACGAGAAAAAGUCGCAUACAAACCCAGAAAUAAAUUUUAAAAAAGGAUUCUGCAAGAACUCGCUCCAAUCCGUUCCUUUGUUUCAGUGAAAUACUCGUUGAUUGGAGACAAGUUGUUGAAGUAUUCUGUCAUGCAACUAAUGAUGAGAGAGAGGAAAAAAACAACUCUGCCUGCUCUGCUAACAGCGUACCUCCUCGGUAUCAUGGGCAGGAUGUCAUCUGGCCAGCAGAGAAAAGAUAGAACCUGAUAUCUGGAUCAUCCAUCCUGGCUCAUCAGUAACCCCAUCUUCCUCCUUAGAGCUUGUUUGGGUGGGGAUGCAAAGCCCCAGGACCAUACAUUCCUUGUUUUGACCUCUGGAUCAACUUAAAGCCGAGAAGUGAGGCAUUGUUAUCUAAUUAUAUGUGUCACAUUCCUGAUUUUUCAGUCUUGAAGUUGCAAAACUAUUUUUUAGUAUGGAAAAAAAAAAAAAAACCCAGAGAAACAGCCAGGCUUGAUUAAAUUUCCAUUUGGAACAGCCAUAUAGACAUAUUACAGAAUAUGACUCUUAAUUCAUAAAAAAUAUCUGAUCUGCUUGUGUGUACGGGUGUGUGUGUGUGUGUGUGUGUGUGUGUGUGUGUGUGUGUGUGUGUGUGUGUGUGUGUGUGUGUGUAUACGUACGAGUGUGUGUGUAUGUGUGUGUACGGGUGUGUGUGUGUGUGUGUGUGUGCACACGCGCUUUAGCAUGUGUAUUUUCCACUUACUCAUUCUUUUCAGACAUCAUUAUUUUCUUGACAGUGUGUAUAUCCUGCUCACACAUUCCUGUGCACACACAGAAAAAGUGCACCAAUGUAUUUUUGGUCUGGCUUUUAAAAAACACAUAGAGUUGCUAAAUUCUGUUUCUACAGCUUGUGCUAUCCUUUUUCUCUUUUUUUUUUCUUCCUUUUUUUUUUUUUUACCAGCUGAUCAUUAUGAAGUAUGUUGAAGGGGAGAGGAAAGAUAGAAGGAAAUAUUUUCUAAUGCAGAAUGAUAUAGGCAGCAGAGCUCACUAUAAAACUGCAAAAUGACACUCUGUGGGGAAAAAAAGCAUAAGAAACGAUAAGGAAUUUAUGUAGAAGAUAUAUUUGAAUCAGGACAGCAUGGUGGCGCAGCGGGUAGCAUUGCUGCCUCACAGCUCUAGUGUCCUGGGUUUGAUCCUGAGUUUGGGUUACUGUCUUAUUUUGUAUGGGUGUUCUCUGAGUUCUCCGGUUUCCUCCCACUGUCCAAAAACAUGCAGGCAAGUGGAUUGGUUACACUAUGUAGUGGUUACACCCUAGUAGUGAAUGAGUAUAUGAGAGAGAGAGAGAGAGUUUGUGUGUGUGUGUGUGUGUGUGUGUGUGUGUGUGUGUGUGUGUGUGUGUGUGUGUGUGUGUGUGUGUGUUUUUGUGGUGCCCUACGAUAGACUGGUGUUUUUGCUUUGUUCACUGGUAUCAUAAUUUUGUUUUGGUAUUAUAACUUUUAAAUGGAAGUGAACAUUAGGUACUGAAAAUCAUGUUUAAAAUGAUCUAAUGAUGAGCUUGAAUUUGAAUGUUUGUUUAAUUAUGCAUUAAUUAGGCUAUUUAUGUGCACUAUUUUAGAAGUAUUUCACAUUCUUCUGCAUUCACUUUCUCUCUCUCUCUCUCUCUCUCUCUCUCUCUCUCUUGCUCUCUCUUGCUCUCUUUCUUGUUUAUCAUUUAUAAAAAUGGGUAUGUUGCUAAAACUACACAAACCUGCUAUACACCAAAACCAGAAACCCUUGUGCCGCUGCUGCUUGUGGGUUCAAACUCAUGAUUCUUGGUUUGUGAGCACAUAUUUUCCUGUGUCAGGAAUGGAAGAAACUGAAAACAAAACAAACUAUAAGUUAAAGUUUCAGGUACUAUAAAAACCACUGGCUUUUCUGCUGUGCUAUUUUUAGUGCUCACUCCAGCCCCCAGUCGUCGGUGUCACAUAGUUUCCUCACUAUUUCACAGGCAGCUUCACAGAGAUGAGGAAAAAAAGCACAUAGAACAUGUUGCUUUAGCAUCAUGCUGAGUCUUUUGGGGACAUAAUGAAACUCAAGAUUUGUAGUAGUGUGUAAUAAAAAAACAUUUAUUUUGAAAGAUCUUACAUGUUUACUUUUAAGCCUUGAUACACGGCUAAGCAGAAAAACAACAGAGCAAUGAACAUGGCAUCAUUUCUUCAUAGUUCUGUGCCUUUAGACACCCACACACAUCUGACAUUAACGUCACUUGUGUUCCAUAGGCUAUUUUUAAACAUUUGUGUCUUUUUAGAAAAUGAGUGGGCAUGGUUGUUAAUGGUGAAAUGUAAAAGGGUGUCAGCUUCUCUGUUUCUUUUCAUUGACAAGAUUUAACAUGCUUAUUAGAAUAGCAAGCUCUUACAGAACAUUCAGUAUAUUUAGUCAAAAAUAUUUUAAUGUUACAUUUGCAAUAGCAUGCAUAAACUAAACUAUAUUCAAAACAUUAUUUGUAUAUAUUAAAAAUAAUUGUGUUCUCUCGUUAUCUUUUGUAG
ensembl:lncRNA